GUUUAAUAGUCACAUGUACAGGGUUGCAGGUGUUAUUACAGUGUAAUAGUCACAUGUACAGGGUUACAGGUGUUAUUACAGGGUACAGUGUUUAAUAGUCACAUGUACAGGGUUGCAGGUGUUAUUACAGUGUAAUAGUCACAUGUACAGGGUUACAGGUGUUAUUACAGGGUACAGUGUUUAAUAGUCACAUGUACAGGGUUGCAGGUGUUAUUACAGUGUAAUAGUCACAUGUACAGGGUUACAGGUGUUAUUACAGGGUACAGUGUUUAAUAGUCACAUGUACAGGGUUGCAGGUGUUAUUACAGUGUAAUAGUCACAUGUACAGGGUUACAGGUGUUAUUACAGGGUACAGUGUUUAAUAGUCACAUGUACAGGGUUGCAGGUGUUAUUACAGUGUAAUAGUCACAUGUACAGGGUUACAGGUGUUAUUACAGGGUACAGUGUUUAAUAGUCACAUGUACAGGGUUGCAGGUGUUAUUACAGUGUAAUAGUCACAUGUACAGGGUUACAGGUGUUAUUACAGUGUUUAAUAGUCAUGUACAGGGUUA